GGCGCGGCUCCGGGGGCGCAGCCUCAGGCCUUCCUCCGUUCCUCGCGCCGCCGCGCGCGGGAUCCCGACUCGGGACCCGCUUGGCGUGCGGAAGCCAGUGAAGAGGCCGGGCCCGCUGGGCUGGGCGGAGGCGUGAGAGGCCUCUCCGAUUCUGACGGAAAAGCAGGCCAAACAACUCCUGAGAUCCCGGCGCCAGGACAGGCCGAGCAAACCCGGGUUCCCGGAUGAGCCCAUGCGGGAGUACAUGCACCAUCUGCUCGGCCUGGAGCACCGCGCGGAGGAGCAGUUCCUGGAGCACUGGCUGAACCCGCACUGUAAGCCCCACUGUGACAGGAAUGUGGUCUAUCCGGUGUAAGCAGCUCGGGACCACCUCCGCAAGCAUUUUGAUAAACACCAGCCCGGAUGUUGCUGAAACAGGAUGAGGCCCCCUCUUUCGUUUACUUUUCAUUGUGGAAUGGAUGUCUUCAGACCUUGUGAAUUGUGGGCACAGCAAAGGUUGCCUUGGGGAUUGAUGGCAAAUAUUUAUGCUGCUUCAUUUUACUAACCUGCAUAACUCAUUAAAACCAAUAACUGAAACCACAGCCCUCCCCUCCACCCCGUGGCCUUCCUACCAGUUGGAAAGGGUGGGCUGGUGGACCCAGGACCUCCAGAACAGGAGAGGGUAGCGAGGAAGCCUUGUGCAGCAGAGUGAAGCCCACCAAUGGGGGCUGCAGGGGUUUUGAUUAUAGCUUUUUCCUCUCUCUUCUACUCUAAUAAAAAUCACUGUUGAGCCC